UUCAACAGCAAUAUUUUAUUGAAACAUAUUUUAAAUCUAAAAGUGCAGUUUAACCAGCAACAGCUGAUUCUCAUUGUAGAUGAACAUCUACACAGGUGUUACGCCUUCAAUUUCAUUACAAAAGGAGACAACUGCUGAAUAGGUUUGUUUUGUGAUGUAAACAUGGACCCAGCCAGAAAUGGAGAAGUGGCUGAAAGAGGAAGAAGAGUGGCUGGGAGGGGGCGAGGUAUGCGUGGUGGAAGAAGAAUAAGAGGAAGAUCAAGAGCUGUAGUCUCAGAUGAGAUCAGAGCUACUGUAAUUGAUCAUGUAGUAAAUCAUGGUCACUCAAUGAGAGAGGCUGGUCAGAGAGUGCAGCCAAAUCUGCAACGCUCUACAGUGGCAUCUAUUGUUAGAGUUUUCCGGCAAACCAACAGGUAACUUGUAUUCUGCAGGGGCAUUUGCACAUUUCAGAAGUAAAUAAGCUUUUGUGUAAUUUUUGUUGCAUUUCUGCUUAGGACUCAACAGUUACCUCACAUAGGAGGGAGAGGACGGAUGUUCACUGAUGUGCAGGAAACUGCCAUUGUUGAUAUGGUCAUCAGAAACAAUGGGAUAAAACUCACUGAAAUUAGACAGAGUCUUGGCAGACAACGUUACUUUCGCAAAUAUUCACAGUGUAAGCAUAACAACAAUUUCUAAAGUCCAGAAAAAACAUCAGGUCAGGAUGAAACAGUUGUACACUGUGCCUUUUGAGAGGAACUCUGAACAUGUCAAGCAACUCAGGAACCAGUAUGUCCAGAGAGUCAUGGAGAUUGAAGGCAGGCAAACGCACCACAUUUUCAUCUUUGUGGAUGAGGCAGGUUUCAACUUGGCCAAAGCACGGCGACGAGGGAGGAAUGUGAUUGGGAAGAGAGCCACAGUGACUGUCCCAGGCCAGAGGGGUGCCAACAUCACAAUGUGCGCAGCAAUAUCCACCGAUGGACUGCUGUUACACAGACCACUAAUUGGGCCAUACAACACUGAACGGCUCCUUGCGUUCCUGCAUGAUCUCUAUGGACGGGUUGUGCUAGGUGAGGAAAGGGAUGCAGAGAGAAGGAAUCAGCCAACAUUUAUAAUUGUAUGGGACAACGUGGCAUUUCAUCACUCCCGUGCAGUCACCAAGUGGUUUGCAGCCCAUCCCAGAAUGGAGUCUCUUUUCCUCCCACCUUACUCUCCAUUCCUCAACCCCAUAGAGGAAUUCUUUUCCUCAUGGCGGUGGAAGCUUUACCACCAUCAUCCACAUGAUCAAAUGUCCCUCCUGGAUGCAAUGAAUGCUGGAUGCCUGGAAAUAUCAGCAGAAGAUUGCCAGGGAUGGAUCAGGCAUGCCAGGAGAUUCUUUCCUAGGUGUAUCGCCCUAGAUGACAUAAGAUGUGAUGUGGAUGAGAACCUGUGGCCAAAUGGAGAAGACCGAGUAGAUUAGCAUUACUAUUGUAUGUGUAUCAGUGGAUGGUGUGUAUACAAAUUCUUGUAUUUUGGGAUUACUUAGUGCAAAAAAAUAAAAAUACAUAAACAUAAAUACAUGAUGUCUGAUUCAUUCCAGUAACAUAUAUUGAAAUUAUAAACAGAGAUGUGUCCUUGUUUUACACAAGAAAACACUGUGUAAUGCUACAUGUUGUUAGUGUUUUUUAGGUCAUUGUUUUGUGGGUGACAAAGUGUGUUUGUCGGCUGUCAACCUUUGCUAGUGUUCUGGAAGAAUGAGUUUAUUUGAGACCUGAAUAAAGUGUUUUGGUAGUUGUAGUGCAUUUUGAAUGUGAAAUGAACUGCUUUGCCAAGCUGAAGGUCAGUUAGAGGAGUUGUGUGAAGAGUUUUGCAAAAGUGACCUAAGUAUUGAGAAAUGUGUCCUAGUGGCUGUAAAAAAAAAAAAACCAAAAAAAAACCUGUAACACUUUUGACAGUGUUAUAUGUUUAAAAGUAACCUAGUCAGUUUUGAAGAUUAACAAUGGCUAACACUGAGCAGUGCUGAUUUUCUAACACUGGAAUAUUUCUAACAUUUUGAGUUAUUUUCCAGUGUUAGAAAAUCAGCACUACUAGCACGUAGAGGCCUCCUCUGUGCUACGAUAAGCCAGCCAAACACUGGCUGUAGCUUCAGAUGUCCUGCACAAACAUGAGAGGCAGCAGUGCUCUUAUAACACUCAGCAAGAAGGUGAAGAUCAAAAGUCAAAAAGAUUUCUUUGAGUUUAUUGCUGUUUAUUGCUUUAUGUCCCUC
ensembl:lncRNA